UCGAAACUCUGUCUGGUACAGUAUCACAGGCACUUUCUGGAUCUCACCCUUCUUUCAAAGUCGACUUGAAACUUGAAAGUUCAUCUAUGGCUCGGGUGAAAGACAUUCGGAAGAUGGAUGAGUGGGUUCUUGUCUUCAGUUUCAGAAAAUGAUGAGGCAAAACUUUUAAUAGAAAUUGGCAUCUUAUUUAAUGAGGCAAAACUUGGUUAAGUAUCAUUUGGUUGCCAUUUUGCUACUGCUAUUACAGACUUUAGAUUUUGAGGGGGAGAUGCUUAGUUGGAAUGGCAAGCUCUAAUAGGUAUUGGACUCGUUCUGCUAUUAAAGGAUCAAGCUACAAGCGCAAGAGAGGCUUGAGCGAAGUGGUGAAUUCAGAUGUUAGGCUUAGUAAUUUGCCAGACUGGAUACCUUGUCACAUUCUGUCUUUUCUUCCAACAAAAGAAGUUAUGGCUACGAGCCUUUUAUCAAGACGAUGGGAAUUUCUCUGGACUGAAAUCUGUAGUUUUCAUUUUGAAGAUUUCAAUGAAUGUUAGAGCCGUAGUGACAUUUAAAAAAAAAAAAAAAAGAGCUUUGUGAAAUUUGUAGACAGGGUUUUGCUUCUCAGAAAUGUCAAAACAACAAUAAGUUCCGUCUGAAGUGGAAAUAUUUCUGCGAAAGCAUCAAAGCGAGAAGAUGGGUCAACAUUGCAGUUGCUAGUAAUGUCCAAGUGCUUAAUGUCCUUCUUCAUUGUGCUUGUGAUAGCUGUUCUGGUUUAGGCUAUAAAUUGUGCCUAGGAGCCUCUUUACUUGUGAUACACAAGAAUUUCUAUAAUUGUCUGGUGAUAUUGUCAUUGAUGUUCCAAACAUCGUUUAUCUUCCUAGGCUUGUGAAUCUGAAUCUUGCUAGAGUUGCAUUCAAAUCCAAUGACUCUGUCCAGAAUCUUAUACCUGGUUGUGCAGUUCUAAAGUUCUUGUCUAUCGCAAGAAAUACCUGGCAUGAUGCGGCUAUAAUCACAAUAUCAUCUCCUGUUUUGAAAAGACUAGAACUUAAACCUUAUGAAGAAAGUUUAGGUUUUUUUUAUCCUUAUGAUUUUGGCUAUAAAGACUCUAAGCUCAAGAUCAUUGCCUCUGUACUUGAGCACCUGUAUCUGCAAGAUUGCAAGAUUGUGCCAGUCAAGACUUUGUUUUAGGAAGCCUUACCUCCUUAGAAGAAGUAUAUGUUGAUGUUUCCUGCCACAGCCCCCCUGAAAUCAGAUAUUGGAAUUCAGUUGUUAAGCUACUUGAAACACUUCAUCAUGUGAAGUUUCUGAGGUUUUCAUAUGAUACCAGUAACGUAAAGCUGUUUGUUUUAGUUCCCAUUAAAUUGUAAAUCUUAUGAUUCGGUAUGGUACACAAAGAACUUAAGCUAAGGAAAUUGAACAAGUAUUUGGUCUUCGAUGCUUCAAUUAAUAGGAAAUCUGAGCUCAAUUGUUCUAAUGGGGACAAGCUGAAUGAUUUUUCUGUAGGCUCUUAAUGGAGCAACUAACCAUUUGUCGACAACGUUCAAGAGAUUAACCACACUGGUUGUAGAAGUUUAUUGCUCCAAGUGGAAAUUCCUGCCAAUGUUGCUUGAAAACUCUGUCAAUUUACAAGUUCUCCAACUUUACAAGCCAUGGUAUCUAUGUUGUCAAGAAACACAUAAUGGAUGCUGGAGGAUUCCUAGUUGCUUGCUAUCAAGUCUCAGAGAAAUGUUCGUCAGAGGAUUUACUGGCCUGGAAGAUGAGCUUGCAAUGAUAAGGUAUGUUCUGAAGUAUGGGAGAGUCCUCAAAAAAAUGGAGCUAGAUUCUGGUCUGUAUGCUGAUGACUUCAAGAAAAAGUUCCAGUUGCUUCAGAAGAUAUUAAUGUUCCCCAGAAAGUCAUUUACAUGUGUGAUUGCAUUUUGUUGAGGUGCAUAGAUGAGCUGAUUAUGACCUUUUUACUAAGAGGUGAUGUAACUAAAGUAGAAUUGAGUUUUUAAUUUCUACGUGUUAAGUUUUUUGAAGUUGUGUGUACAAAUACGUUUUAUGGUGCUGCUUACAGUUUUUAAGGGAUAGGAACCAUAUGACCCAAGUAGCUUGCUCUCUGAUUAUUUUGCGUAUGUGGAAUUAAUUGGUCCUUUUGUUUGAGCUUGAUUACAACCUCUUA